rnacentral:rRNA from 1 species
GAGCGGAGAUAUAUGGAGCUUGCUUUAUAUAACUUAGCAGCGAACGGGUGAGUAACACGUAGAUAAUCUAUCCUAUACUGGGGGAUAGCCCGAUGAAAGUUGGAUUAAUACCGCAUAUAGCUAUAUAGUUGCAUGAUUAUGUAGUGAAAGAUUUAUUGGUAUAGGAGGAGUCUGCGGCACAUUAGCUAGUAGGUGAGGUAAAGGCUUACCUAGGCGACGAUGUGUAGCCGGUCUGAGAGGAUGAACGGCCACAAUGGAACUGAGACACGGUCCAUACUCCUACGGGAGGCAGCAGUGGGGAAUAUUGCACAAUGGGGGAAACCCUAAUGCAGCAACGCCGCGUGAGUGAAGAAGGUUUUCGGAUUGUAAAGCUCUGUUAGCAGGGAAGAGGAAGGACGGUACCUGCAGAGGAAGCCACGGCUAACUACGUGCCAGCAGCCGCGGUAAUACGUAGGUGGCAAGCGUUGUUCGGAAUAACUGGGCGUAAAGGAUGCGUAGGCGGUUAAACAAGUUAUAUGUUAAAUAUAUAGGCUUAACCUGUAGAAAGCAUAUAAAACUGUUUAACUAGAGUGCAGGAGAGGUAAGUGGAAUUCCUAGUGUAGCGGUGAAAUGCGUAGAGAUUAGGAAGAACACCAGUGGCGAAGGCGACUUACUGGACUGUAACUGACGCUGAGGCAUGAGAGCAUGGGGAGCAAACAGGAUUAGAUACCCUGGUAGUCCAUGCUGUAAACGAUGGGUACUAGGUGUGGG